rfam:O.niloticus mRNA for type III iodothyronine deiodinase
GUGUCUCUGUGAAGUUCGGUUUUUAAAAGGGUCAUCCAGAAAACCGACACUGAUGUUUCCGACAC